UCAUGAAGUGUAUGGCUAAUAUAAGUUCACUACAGCUGGACACAUUUCAAAGUUAUAAUUUCUGCGAGUGAAAUUCAGUUGCCAAUUAAAACGGUUGGACACGUUCUCCUUUAAAAGUAUGUAUUUAGUUUCCUGCAACAUGUGACAAACGAAAGGCUGAAACAGCAGCCUGGCAGACGCACCUUUUCGCAGUUUAAACUAGCUGUGCCAUGCCUCUCUUUUCAACUGCUCUGCCUGCUAGCUCUGUUACAAACACUAAUUUAAAAAGACACUUACCUGCGAAGUCUAAGCAUGUCCCUUCAGGCUGGUUUUGUGGAUUAAAAUCAGCUUUGGUCCUUGAUGGCUGGACCCCUCUCUCCUUGAUGGUUGACAUAUCAGCUUUUUGUCCCAAGAUGAAAGCACCACUGAGACUCAGAAGCAUCACUGAUCAACUUCACAAAGGAAUUGCUACCACACAUGGAGCUUUGUGGUACUACGAGCAGCAGAUGAUUUGACUUGUUAAGAAGGAAAAGCAGUUAUUACUAAUCCAUGACUCCAUUGAUGGCCAUUGAGCCAGCAUGUACAAUACCACGAUCCUGAACUGAAGCAGCUAAAUGUUAUCCAGCCAUCAUUCAUUUAUUAUU